UUCGAAAUUUUCAACGUUUGAUUAAUCAAAAAAAGACAGAUUAUCUGAAAUCUCAAUAGUCCAUUAGCACAUGCCUUUUAUAAUUUUGAGGUCCUAUUAAUACUUCAUGUCUUAAUAGAAGAGACACAUUACCCUACCUAUACAUUCUAGACUACAGAGUGAAAGAGAAUGAGGGGAGGAAGAAACUGAUACAACCCUAGUUGCUAGCAGGUUGAUCGACGGCAGAAUGAUGUUCGCCGGAGCUGUGGUUCGGCAACACGACGUGGCCGGAGUUUCUGACCGAAGUAGCUGAACGGGCCGGAUCUCCUUGAUGGAGAGUCUGACGAAGAUAAGGUGGUGGGAGGAAGGUUCGACGAUGGUUCCGGGUGUUAGGGGAAAAGAUCAACGAUGAUCGGAGCUGAGGGACGGUGGUCGACGAUGGACCGGAGUUGUUAAAAAAAAAGAGAAGAGGGCGGUUUCUGUGUUGGGGAGGCCGGCGGUGUCAGAUUUGAUGGCCGUUGGCUGGACGGUAGAUGAAGAGGUGAGAUUCGGUGUUGUGGAGUGGUAGAUCGGCGAUGGACGGAUUCUCUCGUCCGGUGAUUGGAUGGGUUUGAAGAAGAGGGAUGGUGAAGGCGGCUUUAACUUCUGAAAUAUUUCUUACCCAUUAAAUAAACGAGAGUUACAGUUUUAUAGUAAUUUAAGUCGGUUGCACUCAUGGUUAAUUUUGCAAUUUAACCAAAUAGUAAGUCGGCUUCUAGCGGCUCCUCUUCCCCACUUACUAAUCGGGU
rnacentral:lncRNA from 1 species